rnacentral:rRNA from 1 species
GACGAACGCUGGCGGCGUGCUUAACACAUGCAAGUCGAGCGGUAAGGCCCUUUCGGGGGUACACGAGCGGCGAACGGGUGAGUAACACGUGGGUGACCUGCCCUUAGCUCUGGGAUAAGCCUGGGAAACUGGGUCUAAUACCGGAUAUGACUCCAUGACGCAUGUUGUGGGGUGGAAAGCCUUGUGCGGCUAGGGAUGGGCCCGCGGCCUAUCAGCUUGUUGGUGGGGUGAUGGCCUACCAAGGCGACGACGGGUAGCCGGCCUGAGAGGGCGACCGGCCACACUGGGACUGAGACACGGCCCAGACUCCUACGGGAGGCAGCAGUGGGGAAUCUUGCGCAAUGGGCGAAAGCCUGACGCAGCGACGCCGCGUGAGGGGUGACGGCCU